ACUAGAAAGGGACCAGUGGGCCCUGCGGCCGCGGCUGCGCCUGCGCGCUUGCUGUCCAGGUAGUCUCCCCACCUUACCUCAUGCCCAGCUGGGCCGUGUUCACCCCUCCGCGCUGUCACAAUCGCCUUGCCCUCCCUUGCCUCUCUGUCUACUCUGCGUUCCCCGCUGGGAGGAGGGUCUGGUGAUAAAAUAGCGGCGAGACUAUGGAAAUGAUGUUAGACAAAAAGCAAAUUCGAGCAAUUUUCUUAUUCAAGUUCAAAAUGGGUCAUAAAGCAGCGGAGACAACUCACAACAUCAGCAACACAUUUGGCCCAGGAACUGCUAAUGAACGCACAGUGCAGUGGUGGUUCAAGAAGUUUCACAAAGGAGAGGAGAGCCUUGAAGAUGAGGAGCAUAGUGGCCAGCCAUCGGAAGUUGACAGUGACCAAUUGAGAGCAAUCAUCGAAGCUGAUCCUCUUAUAACUACACCUGAAGUUGCUGAAGAACUCAACAUUGACCAUUCUACAGUCGUUCGGCAUUUGAAGCAAAUUGGAAAGGUGAAAAAGCUUGGUAAGUGGGUGCCUUGUGAACUAAGCGAAAAACAAAAAAAUUGUCGUUUUGAAGUGUCAUCUUCUCUUAUUCUACGCAACAACAGUGAACCAUUUCUCGAUCAGAUUGUGAUGUGCCAUGAAAAGUGGAUUUUAUACGACAGCCAGUGACAGCCAGCUCAGUGGUUGGACCAGGAAGCUCCAAAGCAUUUCCCAAAGCCAAACUUGCACCAGAAUAAGGUCAUGGUCACUGUUUGGUGGUCUGCUGCUGGUCUGAUCCACUACAACUUUCUGAAUCCUGGCGAAACCCUUACAUCUGAGAAAUAUGCUCAGUAAAUCGAUGAGAUGCACCAAAAACUACAACACCUGCCGCUGGCAUUGGUCAACAGAAAGGGCCCAAUUCUUCUCCACGACAGUGCCCAACCACACAUUGCACAACCAGCACUUGGGAAAUUGAACGAAUUGGGCUACGAAGUUUUGCCUCAUCCUCCAUAUUCACCUGACCUCUCGCCAACCGACUACCACUUCUUCAAGCAUCUUGACAACUUUUUGCAGGGAAAACGCUUCCACAACCAGCAGGAUGCAGAACAUGCUUUCCAAUAGUUCGCUGAAUCACAAAGCAUGGAUUUUUAUGCUACAGGAAUAAACAAACUUAUUUCUCGUUGGCAAAAA
ensembl:lncRNA UBQLN1-AS1 UBQLN1 antisense RNA 1